rnacentral:lncRNA from 1 species
GGCGGAGUCAGAAUUUUUUUAAUGAGGAGGCAAAUUAUUAACAAAUACUAUAUUAUAUAGAUAUGCAUUAGAUAUGAACCUGCUGGAUUUUUUUUUAUCAUCAUUAGUGUCUACAUAAUAAUUAACACAACUACAUAAUAAUUCACUGUUAAAUAAAAAUCAAUUGAGUUACACGAUAAUUCUAAAUCUUCCAUAUGAAAUUCAUAGC